rnacentral:pre_miRNA from 1 species
ACGACAUUCGGACCGUCGGUCUAGCGAGCAAUUACACCAGCUAAUUGGAAGAUCUUCCUUUUGUCGU